rnacentral:rRNA from 1 species
UACGAAGGGGGCAAGCGUUGUUCGGAAUUACUGGGCGUAAAGGGCUCGUAGGUGGCCAACUAAGUCAGACGUGAAAUCCCUCGGCUUAACCGGGGAACUGCGUCUGAUACUGGAUGGCUUGAGUGUGGGAGAGGGAUGCGGAAUUCCAGGUGUAGCGGUGAAAUGCGUAGAUAUCUGGAGGAACACCGGUGGCGAAGGCGGCAUCCUGGACCACGACUGACGCUGAGUGAGCGAAAGCCAGGGGAGCAAACGGG